rnacentral:lncRNA from 1 species
UUUUUUUUUUUUUUUUUUUUUUGGUUUUUGAAGACAGGAUUUCUCUGUGCAACUCUGCUUGUUCUGGAACUCUCUCUGUAGACCAGGUGGGCCUCCAACUCACAAAGAUCCACCUUCCUCUGCCUCCCAAGUGCUGGGAUUAAAGUUGUACACCACCACAUCCAACUUGGUGUUCUAAUGAGAACCAGGCAUCAAACUGACUUCUGGUUUGUACAGCAAGUAUUUUACCCUCAAGCCAAGUCUCCAGCCCUGGCCCUUCUUUUGAGGUAUGGUCUAGCUGGCAUCAGGUAUCUGAGCUCAUAGGCAGAGGCUAGGACGACAGGCGCACACCAUUACAAUGCCUGGUUCAGUUUUUCUUUCUGUAAAACAAAACCAUAAGGGUUCCUGUGCACUACUUUCAUGAUCAAGACAUUACCAUAGCCGGGCGGUGGUGGUGGCAGCGCACGCCUUUGAUCCCAGCGCUGAGGAGGCAGAGGCAGGCGGAUUUCUGAGUUCCAGGCCAGCCUGGUCUACAGAGUGAGUUCCAGGAUAGCCAGGGCUACACAGAGAAACCCUGUCUCGGAAAACAAAAAAGCAAGCUUUUCUGAAGGUAUAAAUAUUAUCUCAAAACCUGUAAGAUUAUUAUGUAGUAGUUAUACAGAACACUAAUUCUGGAAAUAAGUUUUGUAGCCUCCCUCAGCCUUGAAGCAGGCUGAUCCAGACUUUGACCUUGCUGCCACUAAGGAGGAGAUUACCUAGGGUCUACGCCUUCUGACCUGGAUGGCUCUAUUUGCUCUUCUCCAAGACUCUGCUUCCUGCAGAAAGGUCCGUGAGAUGUUCCAGAGACACACCCUGUAGAUCGCCUAUGGGCUGGCUCCAGGCACCAAGAAUGGGCUGGUGGGGGAUGGGCCUACCCUCUUUAUAAAUACAGAUUCAGUAAACUUCGAAGGCUUUGAACAGAAAGGUUUGUCUUGGCCUCAUUCUUUUCUCACUGUCUGAUCUCUUUCAGCCCCAGCCUGCCUUUCAGGGGAACCCAGUUCAAGUGGUUGCAGGCCGCUACAAAUUUGAUCUAGCUUCCUUUGUGUGCUUGCAGGUUGGAGUCUGAAACAGGUUAACUAGAAACAAAGUUUGUGUACUUAAUAGAUUGUGAUGCGCAAGACAUUCAAACUACUGAGUUCAUAGGACACUGACAUGAAGUUUUACAUAAUUUUUUAAUACAAAAUACUUAAUCUUAAGACUCCCAAAAAUAGCUGGGCGUGGUGGCGCACGCCUUUAAUCCCAGCACUCGGGAGGCAGAGGCAGGCCGAUUUCUGAGUUCCAGGCCAGCCUGGUCUACAGAGUGAGUUCCAGGACAGCCAGAGCUAUACAGAGAAACUCUGUUUCGAAAAAACCAAAAAAAAAAAAAAAAUAAAAUAAAAUAAAAAA